GAUGAAGAACGCAGCGAAAUGCGAUAAGUAAUGUGAAUUGCAGAAUUCAGUGAAUCAUCGAAUCUUUGAACGCACAUUGCGCCCGCCAGCAUUCUGGCGGGCAUGCCUGUUCGAGCGUCAUUUCAACCCCUCAGGCCCCCAGUGCCUGGUGUUGGGGAUCGGCUCAGCCUUCCUGUAAGGCCGCCGGCCCCGAAAUCUAGUGGCGGUCUCGCUGUAGUCCUCCUCUGCGUAGUAGCACAACCUCGCAGUUGGAACGCGGCGGUGGCCAUGCCGUUAAACACCCCACUUCUGAAAGUUGACCUCGGAUCAGGUAGGAAUACCCGCUGAACUUAAGCAUAUCAAUAAGCGGAGGA
rnacentral:misc_RNA from 1 species